rnacentral:piRNA from 1 species
UGAGGUAUCUUGAUGUUUUGU